rnacentral:rRNA from 1 species
GAUGAACGCUGGCGGCGUGCUUAACACAUGCAAGUCGAACGAGAAUUUCAUUUUAGAUUGAAGCAGCUUGCUGCAGAUUGAUAUGUUGAGAUUCGAGUGGCGGACGGGUGAGUAACGCGUGGGUAACCUACCUUAUACUGGGGGAUAACAGUUAGAAAUGACUGCUAAUACCGCAUAAGACCACAGUACCGCAUGGUACGGUGGUAAAAACUCCGGUGGUAUAAGAUGGACCCGCGUUGGAUUAGCUAGUUGGUGAGGUAACGGCCCACCAAGGCAACGAUCCAUAGCCGGCCUGAGAGGGCGACCGUCCACAUUGGGACUGAGACACGGCCCAAACUCCUACGGGAGGCAGCAGUGGGGAAUAUUGCACAAUGGGCGGAAGCCUGAUGCAGCGACGCCGCGUGAACGAAGAAGUAUUUCGGUAUGUAAAGUUCUAUCAGCAGGGAAGAAAAUGACGGUACCUGACUAAGAAGCCCCGGCUAAUUACGUGCCAGCCGCCGCGGUAA